ensembl:snoRNA
AUCUUUUCAUGGUUCACUGGUGUGAUGAUUGGGUGGUUCAUGCCAUAGUGUAAAAUGUAGCUCCAUCCAACCUUGUUAGGAUGUUGACACAUUACUCAUCUGACA